rnacentral:tRNA from 1 species
GACAGUAUAGUUCAGUGGUAGAAUGCAUGCCUACCAUGCAUGAGGUCUUGGGUUCAAUCCCCUGUACCUCCG